rnacentral:SRP_RNA from 2 species
GCCGGGCAUGGUGGUGCACGCCUGUAAUCCCAGCUACUCAGGAGGCUGAGACAGGAGAAUCACUUGAACCCGGGAUUCAGAGGUUGCAGUGAGCUGAGAUUGCGCCACUGCACUCCAGCCUGGGUGACAGAGCGAGACUCCGUCUCAA